UACGGGGGGAGCAAGCGUUGUUCGGAUUUACUGGGCGUAAAGGGCGCGUAGGCGGCGUGACAAGUCACUUGUGAAAUCUCCGGGCUUAACUCGGAGCGGCCAAGUGAUACUGUCGUGCUAGAGUGCGGAAGGGGCUACUGGAAUUCUCGGUGUAGCGGUGAAAUGCGUAGAUAUCGAGAGGAACACCUGCGGCGAAGGCGGGUUGCUGGGCUGACACUGACGCUGAGGCGCGAAAGCCAGGGGAGCGAACGGG
rnacentral:rRNA from 1 species